GCGUGCGCCAGCCGGGCCAGACGGUGAAGCGGACGUUCGUGAGCGGCAUCGACGGCAGUCUCCAGUAUUACGCGGUGAAUCCGGCGUCGAACCCGGCCACGGAUCGGACGGCGAUGGUGCUGUCGCUGCACGGCGCGAGCGUCGAGGCGCUGAGCCAGGCGGACGCGUACGGGAGCAAAUCCUGGGCGACGAUCGUGUGCCCGACGAACCGGCGCCCGUUCGGAUUCGACUGGGAGGAUUGGGGCCGGCUCGAUGCGCUGGAGGUGCUGGCCGAUGCGCAGAAGACCAUUCCCUAUGACCCUCGCGGGUGUAUCUGACGGGGCACUCGAUGGGCGGGCACGGCACAUGGCAGCUCGGGGCUUUGUUUCCCGACAAGUUCGCGGCGAUCGGGCCCAGCGCGGGGUGGAGCAGUUUCCAGUCGUACACGGGCACGGGCGCGGCCGAGAAUCCGGAGCCGACCGUCGAGAUCGUUCAGCGGGCCGCGGCGUCGUCGGACACGCUCGCGUACGCGCGGAACUACGCGGGCCAGGGUGUGUACAUCCUGCACGGGGAUACGGAUGACAACGUCCCCGUGAAGCAGGCGCGGGACAUGCGCGAGGCGCUGU
rnacentral:misc_RNA from 1 species